rnacentral:rRNA from 1 species
AUACAGAGGGUGCGAGCGUUAAUCGGAAUUACUGGGCGUAAAGCGCGCGUAGGCGGCUUAUUAAGUCAGAUGUGAAAUCCCCGGGCUCAACCUGGGAACUGCAUCUGAUACUGGUAAGCUAGAGUUUUGGAGAGGGAAGUAGAAUUUCAGGUGUAGCGGUGAAAUGCAUAGAGAUCUGAAGGAAUACCAGUGGCGAAGGCGACUUCCUGGUCAAAAACUGACGCUGAGGUGCGAAAGCGUGGGUAGCAAACGGGAUUAGAAACCCUAGUAGUCC